rnacentral:rRNA from 1 species
UACGAAGGGGGCUAGCGUUGUUCGGAAUUACUGGGCGUAAAGCGUGCGCAGGCGGCUUCUCAAGUCAGGGGUGAAAGCCCAGAGCUCAACUCUGGAAUUGCCUUUGAGACUGAGUGGCUUGAGUACGAGAGAGGUGAGUGGAAUUCCCAGUGUAGAGGUGAAAUUCGUUAGAUAUUGGGAAGAAACACCGGUGGCGAAGGCGGCUCACUGGCUCGUAACUGACGCUCAGGCGCGACAGCG